rnacentral:tRNA from 1 species
CAAAAGAUAAGCUAAUUAAGCUUGCGGGCCCAUACCCCGCCCAUGAAAGAAUGAUCUUUCUCUUUUUA